GUCCUGUCUGGCGAGGAGGGAUCGUCUCCAGCUCGAGGGGAUGGUGGGGAUGGUGAUGGGUUCUCGUCCUUCCUCGCUCGGGGCAAGGACAAGAUG
rnacentral:tRNA from 1 species